AAAUGAUUGAAAUCCCAGCAGGCCUCAUUACCGGCGGGCCUCCAGAGAGCCGGCGAAGGGGCUUAAGGUCUUCAAGUAACGAUUGAAACAUGAUUUGUAUUAAAGCCAACGAUCUUCCUCGCCAGAGCAUCAAAUUAGCGAGCAGCUCUGGUGAAGAAAGGAAGAGACAUCACCAAAGUGUAAUUGUCUCUGACGCCCGGAGCCGCGGAUCACGUUACGAGCGGAGACACGAGUAAAAGCGCUCGAGGAAGGUUUUAACUCCUCGACAGCGCCGUUGUAGUUUUUUUUUACGUCUGACGCCGCUGUAAUAUUCAAUUAAAGUCCUCUGCCAAGGACAAAACUUCAGACCGUCCAGUGUAAAGACACAGGCCCCACUGCUAAUCUCCGGCUCCAGAGCAGAACCAUCAUAUUUCAGUGAUAAUGAUUUCAAAAAAAAAUUAUUUUAUUUUUAUUUCCUGCAUCUGUCAAAGUUGAAGACGUCCAUGAAAGCCGAUGAAAGAGGGUUUAUCGUCUGUGGAUCGGCAGAGCGAACGUGCCGGAAGUCUUUUGAUGCCCGGGAUCGCGGUCCCCAGAGGCGAGCGAACGCAUCACUGCGCCGUCUGGCGUUUGAAUAAUCAAGGCUUUAUGUUUCCUGUUUGUUAAUGCCGCUGAAAAGAGCACAGAGUCGACGCAGCGGCCGGGUGAAUUUGAUGAUGAGGACGUCAUACAUCACUGGAGCGGAUCCAAAGACCAAACUUUCAACCCUUUGAAGGGGAGAAAAGGCGUCGGUAUCGAUUGGCCCUCUGAAACAUGCAGCCCGGGCAGCGAGACCCCCGCCCGCAUUGUGAACGCACCUCCCACCUCUAUCGCACCGGCAGAUCGAUAUCUCCCAGCUCAGAGUUGGCCAGGAGUGAAUCUGGUAGUGGAGCGCUUGAGGAGGAAGACAAGGAAAGAGGAGGAGGAGGGGAGGGUGAGGAAGGUUUCCACCAGCUCUGCUGAGGAAGGAAUAGUGAUGAGUGGAAUGACUGAGAGUGUCUGACAGGCUGAUAUAUAUAUAUAUAUAUAAAAAAAUCCGACAUGAUUAAAAAAACAGCUGGAAAGUUUUGGACUCUUGGGGGAAACGGUUGGAUCAUUGAAAUCACUUGUCAAGAAUAUAGAUUUUUCAUUCAAUUAAUUAAAGGAGACGUAUUCUGCUCAUAUUCAGGUUUAUAGUUUUAAUUUGGGUCUUUACUUGAUAGUUGGGUAGUUUCCUCGGACCGUCACAUUCCUGCAGCUCCUCGUUCCAGCCUCUUUCUGAAACACUUACAUGAAGGAGAAAAAAAACGGUCUAACACGCUAGAGGAAAGGGGAACAUUAAAUUGUCUCCUUUAAAUAAUGAAAAUCAAUGAAUAUCAAAUAAAAUGAAUAGCGGUUCAUCAUCCAUAAAAACACACAGACGAUAGAAAGUUUUCAGUUGUUAAACGGAGAAUGAGGCAGCAGCUUUCAGACAUUUAUAAAACACCGUGUUGACGACCAGACCCCAUAAAUGGAAUAGCUCUGUUUUCCCAGUCCCAGACUAAAGAUAAAGCCGGAACAGCAUUUUCAAAUGAAUACGCUAUGAAGAGGUAGAAGAAGACAAAAGAGAGGGAACUGUUGGCUUAGAUUGCUCGGAACAAUAGGAGAGGGAAAAAAAAGUGUCUGCACAUUUUUCCAGACAGGAAAACUUUUUCAAGCUGACAAAUACUGAUUGGACUGUUGUCGACCAAAAGAAAAGACGGGACUUUUAUGUUUCGUGUCGAUCUGGAAGAAUAUGAUCUUAUAAUCAAGGCUGCUGAAGCAUAACCAAAUAUUCAAUAAAGUAAAGCAGCCAUGAAAUGUUUUGUUGUGGGCCUCGUUGCCCUUAUAAUCAGUUUAAUGAACUUUUUUUCAUAAUUUAAAGGCAGUCCGUCGGGUUUCCUUCAUACCUAGUGCUUCUCACCCAAAAUACAUUCUGUGUAACAUUAAGGGCCCGUUACAAAUGCGUUGAAUGUGACUAUUGUCCCAUAUUUAGUUGGAAAACAAAUACGUUAUCUGGGAACAUUUUACUGAUGGGUUCAGUAUCCGCGCAUAUUUCUGAUUAGCUUAAAAGGAAACAUUAUCCAGUCAUAAUUAUGUUCCCUUCAAAAGGCAUUUGUUGUUAAUUGAAUAUAAAUGUAAUUUCUAUAAGCGUUGUUGGAAACCUGUAUUUGCAUCCAUAUUUACUUACAUCACAUCCAUUUUGCGAACUUUCUUGGUGUGUUGCUGCCACCGACUGUCAGUGAUUGUGUAUUACACCGCGCGGGUGCUCGUUUUCAUGCAGCUACAUCAUCGAGAAUGAGCGUAGAACACACACAGAACUUGUUUGUGAAAUGUAAACGUUGCUCUAUUGUGAUGCCAGUGUUCAAAAAAAACAACACCAGGUAUAACAUUAAGAAAUAUUUGAUAAGAAAAAAGGUUCUCAUACCCACGCGUUUAGAAGUUGGCGUGUGUCUUUAGAAGCCUCAGAAGCUGCACAAAGAACCACAAACUGCGUUAAAAAUGAAUAAACGUGGUGGUGUUGCGUGGACAAGGGUGACCUAACACAAAAGCAAAACUUUCCAAGUAGGUUCAAAUCGAUAGAAAAGGAGAACUGACGGGAAAGAAAGCUUGAAUUUCAAAUGUUGACUCAUGCCACUUUGCUCAUAUUUACAGUGAACUACACUUGAUGUCCUAUAAUUGUUUUGUGUGUAUUUAUUACAUAGACAUCUAGAAUAAUAGUUAACAUAUAAUAUAUAUAUAUAUAUAAAACUUUGUGCAUGGACUGCAAACACGGCGCAGUCAGUGUUUCAAAGAAAAC
rnacentral:lncRNA from 1 species